GCUUGUACCUAUUUGCUUAGUUAAAUCCAGGUGGCGACUUUUUUUUGGCCAGGCAGUGUAUAUAUGAAUAUUCAGCUUAACAUAGACAAUGAAACACAGUGCUUUUUAAUAACAAAACAAAAUAUUCAUAAGAAAGAGAAUAGAGUCAUAUUUUAAUGGAAGGGGUGGUUCCUUGAUCUAAAGGCCCUAGCAACUGGUCCCCCACACGCAACAAGCACAUUUUCUGAUGUUAUUCUACCCAGUUGCACAUUCCUUAGGAUUGGAGUGUGCUGUUCAUAAUUACUCUAAUUUCUUUAUGCUGAAACUUUCUCUAUAUUGUACAGUAUGUUACCCUUAGUAAUUUUUAUUAUGUUUCAUCUUUGCGUAAACCUAUGUGCUUCAGUUGUUUGUCAUUUUGUAGUUGUUGCACCUGAGUUUACCCCAUUGUGAGAUAUUAAACAAAAAUAUUGCUGUUAUAUAUAUUUAUUCUUCUAGAAUAAACAAAGCUGAAGUUGGUUUCCGAUUGCAGCUUCUGGGAAAUGGCCAAAAGGCGAUUCCACCAAAUUUUUCAUCAACUAAAGCAUUUCUUAUCUACUUUAGUUAAAAAACUGCAACUCUUCAAACUUCACCUAGAUUAUUCUGCUCUAAUAGCAGAAUAUUUAAAACCAAGUUUGUGAUUUGUGAAACAUUCAUCUGAUUUGUGAAACUUCAAUUGAUGUCACCACUUUUUACACAUUUGGACCACACCAGAAUAACUCUAAUACCAAAACUACUCUUUAAACACCAAGGCUCUUUAAAUCUUAGGGUUCGUACCGGUCAUGGAAAACCUGGAAAGUCAUGUAAUUUCAUUUCAGGUCAUGGAAAGUCAUGGAAUUUGCAAGUAAGGGCAAAAAAUGCUGUUUUUUCCGUGGUGCGUGUGUUUCUGUGGUUCUUGUCUCGGACUUGUAGAUUUGUGAUCUAUAUCAAACCCUCUCUGGCCAAGGCAGCAGAAAAUGUCCAUUGAUCCCGAAAUCAGACAGGCAAGUUGUAGAGCUCUGAAUCUUUUCUUUAUGCAGUUCUUCAAACAUUUGAAGAACUGUUCACAGCAAGACAUGCAUUCAAACAAAAGGAGGGAGAGUUUCCCCCUGAUCUAAACCACCCAUCUUUUAAAGCAAUAACUCCUACCAGGUCUAAUUUGAGAACACCAAGUCCUUGUGUUUUCAAUCAGGACACAAGGACCAUGGAAGCGCACUCAUUGGUGGAGACCACAUUUAUUUUUCCAGAUAGGAAAUACACAUUUGUAGUAAACUAUCAUCCUAGAAAAAUAUUUACAUAACUUCAACUACGCCAACAACUUCAAAACUAAAACCAAAACAAUUUGGGCCCAAACAAAAUCCAAAAAACAUCUCUUCUCCCUCUCAAACAAUGGAUUUUUCCAGUGAGGCUGAUUGAAAACACCAGGUCCUUGUCAGCACUGCUCCUGGGCGCACUUUCAUGGCAACACAUGACCAGGUGACCUCAAAGAGAAGAGAGAAUGGUUAAAACCAAAUAUUAAAAGCCAGUUACUUCCUCCAAACAAAAACAAUACAUUUACCAGAUAAAUUAGAAUAUAGAAAGUACAAAAAACAGCACCUGGGAAGCGAUAAAUCCCUCACACUUCCCUCCCUUUCAGGAGACUUGCUGUGGUCUUCUUUGCUGUGUCACAGCGAGACUAGAAGUCUGUGACUGCGUUUUCUUUUCCUGGAAUGUAGCCUAUCUUGAAUCGAUAAGGUUGAAGAGACAGGAACCAUCGUGUUAUGCGACUGCUUGUGUCUUUCAUGGCCUCCAACCAUUUCAGUGCCCGAUGGUCAGUCUCAAGGGUCAACUCUUGCCCCAGAAGAUAAUAUCUGAGAGAAUCAAUCAUCCAUUUGAUAGCCAGACACUUCAGUUCCACCGCCGAAUAUCUGGUCUCUCGCUGAAACAACCUUCUACUAAUGUUGGCGACUGGUAUCUUGUCCGCUUCUUCUCCCUGCAAAAGAACCCCACCAAUUCCCCUGGCAGAUGCAUCAGUCUGAACAGUGAAAGGUAAAGUGAAGUUUGGGCUCUGAAGUACAGGUUCUUGAGACAAUGCCUCCUUUAAAUCCUGGAAUGCCUUCUCUUGUGCUUCUCCCUACACAAUUUUUGUUUUUGAUGUCCCAGUGAGGUCAGGAAGAGCUGCUUUAUCAGCUGUUCUAGCAGAAAAGUUCCUGAUGAAUCAUCGAUACCAAAAUACCAGGCCCAAAACGGACCUGACUUGUCUCCUGGUUGUUGGUCUCUCCACACAUUAAACUACCUGGUGGAAACAGUAUUCACAUCGAACUGGUUUUCAUGUGACACCGGGCUGAUAAGGUUGAGAAUAAGGGUUAUAUGAGUUCAUAUUGUUUCAAAGUUGACAUCAACAUGAUAAAAGUCAACAUAAAGUUGUCACGUGAUAGACACGUAAGCGAAAAUGCUUAACAGCAACAGGCUUUAUAUAUUCAUGAAAAUAUUGACAUGGUGAAUUAUGCAGAAUUAUAAGAACAAAAAAAAGACAUCAUCCCAGACUUCUUUAUCAGCAGCGGAGCAGAGAGGUGAUCCGAUAAAUUGAGUCUGACUUUUUUUUUCGAACAGCAAAGAAAGGAUGAUCGGGUACGUGCUCAUUUUCGAUUGCUGCACAAAUUAUUACACCAAUCACAAUUGUGCUUUCGGAACAUAAUAAACAAAGCUUAUCGAAUGGAUCCCUGAUCCCUAAAAGCCAGCGCAGCCUCCUGCUGCUCCUCUGUCCGCAGUAGGAGGCUGCGCUGGCUCCGGGCAGUGGUUCACUGUCUUUGCUGGAUGAACCAACAUGUGACUGCCAUUCUCUGUCACGCACUGAGAGGUGAGUUAAGGCUUCCCAGAUGGAGAAGAAACACGAGCUAAGGACCCAAAUAGUUCAUCAAACUUGCUAACUCUCAUUAGGAUUGUGUGAAAUAAAGGAAUUUGUCACGAGAGAAUUUUAGGUAAUCAGUACGCUCGAGUAUGACGACCCAACCGUCUGCAGACAUUAAGCGCGGAGUCCGCACGGUUCAUGGAAAUGCGCACAGUACGCCUGAGUAUGAAGGUGUCAGAGUUCCGGUGUGAGAGCGUGUGCAUGAGAGUGUGAGUGCGAGUGUUGCAUCUUCUUUCAGCGAGGAUCUUCGUGAGGAGUCUGUGGAGCCAGUGCAGGUGAAGCUGAUCUGCCUCAUCAGCGUGCUGGAAUAUAGGAGCGGCAGAACCCUUCAGCCUUCGCUAGAUGGUUAACGCAUACCGGUAGUCACUCUGGUCUCACCUGUUGAUCUUGUUUCCAGAACUUUGUUGUGCAACUCGUAGCGACUAGCUCUCUGUGUCCUGUUCGUUUGUUUAAUGAAUUUUUUGUCUUCGCUUUUCAAGAACUUGCCGAGAAUACCUGCCUGCCUGCUCCGCCGUUUCCACCGACCCCAUCUCGCUCCUACCACCCGCGAUUCCGCCUCGCGCCGGACCCUGGCACCUCACCCCCCCACGCUCUGAAAGAUCCACGCCAAAUGCCACCUGGUCGGGCGACCCUCGCCCUCCUGCCGAAGUCCAGAGAACUGAAUAUAAUUUGUCCCGUUGUAAAUAAAUCACUUACCUUUUCCAUCCAGCGUGUGGUUUCUGCAUGUGGGUCCGCAAACUAAAUCAAACCAUGACAGAAGGGGCCUUAACACACAGUAAUGAGUAAUUACAAAAAGAUGACCCACAGCAAAGUCUAGUCUGUCCUCCCAGUUACCUCAACAACUAUCAAAAGCCUCCAGUCACUACAGCGUUUCCACAUACUCCCAAUUGGUCAAGCCAUGUAACAGCAUCUAGCUUUUACAAUGCCAGACCUUCAUGCCAGGAGUCCAGAGACUCUAAUGUAAGUGAUUUUAUUAGGUAUUUUGCUAGUCGUGAAAUAGUAGCAACAGGGCUGCUCCAGUUCAAUGACAAGCCCCAAAACUUCAGAGCUUAAAAUGCUCCUUUGAAAAUGCAUUAAGGGGUUUGGAUCCAACAGUAAGUGAGGAGAUGGACUUGAUGUGUGACUUGGCAAAGAAUCUGCUAAGCAGGCAGAGCAAAUCAGGGUUAUACACAUUAAUAACCCAGUCAAUGGCCUCAACAUGAUGUGGAACAGACUUGAACAAUGUUACGGCUCAGCUGAAGUGAUCAAAUAUGCACUUUUCAAAGGAAUCAAUGCAUUUCCAAAAAUCACAUCGAAAGAUUACACAAAACUGAGAAAGUUUAGUGAACUGCUCAUGGAAAUGCAGCGUGCUAAAGAGGAAGGAGACCUCCCUGGUCUUGCAUUUCUGGAUACAGCAAGAGGGAGUUUCCUAUUGUCCAGAAACUCCCCUUCCACUUGCAAGAAAAAUUGAUUACAGUAGGAAUUAACUACAAACGUGAACACAAAUGCACAUUGUGAACCCAAAGUGUUCACAAAGGAACACUUUGUGACUUUCAUGGACACCACGUUAAAUGGUGGUCCUUCCCACCAUGGACUUGGAUGUUAGACAAAUGUAACUACUCUCAAAACUAUAACCUCAACCAGGGAACUUGGUUCUGAUAGGUUCAGCAAGUUUUCCACCUGGAGGUCUCUCACGUGCUCUUUCUAGACUAUUGCAUUUCAACUUCAAAUCCCCACCAAGCAUUAACAAUCUCUGCUGUGGUUGGCAUUACUGUGAGACAGGAUUCACUGUGGACGAUUUUGAACAAGCUCAAAACAUUGUGAUUCGAGCAGUACAACAGGAUGUGUAUUCUGAAGAAAUCAGGUGUGAACAAAAACAUGAGAAGUUAGCCAAAACCAGUUCUCUCAAGAACAUAGACCCUUAUCUGGAUGAGAAUGAACUCCUCAGAGUAGGUCACAUCACUGACUCAAACUUGACUCAUGGUGAAAAGAACCCACUUCUAGUUUCAGGCCACCACCAUGUUGCAGUUCUCCUCAUAAAGCACCACCACAAUCAGGUUCAUCAUCAAGGUCGCUUGUUUACAGAAGGAGCAAUAGGCUCUGCAGGAUGGUGGAUCGUGGAUGGCAAAAGAAAGGUGAGCACAAUCAUCUACAAUUGUGUAACCUGCAAAAGACUUCAUACUCCAAUGAGCACACAACAUGUCAAACCUUUUUCCAGACCGUCUUGCAAUGGACCCUCCAUUCACCAAUGUAGGCUUAGAUGCGUUUGGCCCAUGGUUUGUGUACCAGAGGAAGUGUGAACCAAAACAAAAGGUGGGCUGUCAUUUUCACAUGCCUGAGUAUUAGAGCAGUUCACAUCCAGGUGAUAGACUCACUUGACACAUCCAGCUUUAUUAACGCAUUUAGACGGUUUCUGGCUAUAAGAGGACCUGUAAAACCUAUUUGUUCUGAUCUGGGUACCGAUUUUGUCAGUGCAUGUAAGAAACUGAAGAUCCCCUCGAACUUGGACAAGGCAGUUCUACAAACCUACUUAAAAGAAAAUGGAUGUACUUGGACUUAUAACCAGCCACAUGCUUCUCAUUUUGGUGGAUAGAGGGAAAAAAUGAUAGGCCUGUCCCGGAAAAUAUUGGACUCUAUGUUUUUCAAACUCAAGACCACAAAGCUCACUGAUGAAGUUCUUGUCACCUUCAUGGCAGAGGUGGCAGCUAUUAUAAAUGCUAGACCUCUUGUCCCAGUUUCUUCAGACUCAAGAGAUGCUUUCAUCUUGACCCUACCUAUUCUUCUAACCCAGAAGAUUGUCCCUCUUAAGGCUCCAACUGGUAACUUCACUGCAUCAGACAUUUACAGACACCAGUGGCGUCAGGUUCAGCACCUGUCAAACAUCUUCUGGGACAAGUGGAAGAAAAAGUUCCUUUCUACUCUCCAGUUACGUCGCAAGUGGCAAUCGAGCCAUCCAAAUUGUGAGUAUAGGAAAUGUCGUCGUACUCAAAGACAGUCAAGUACCAAGAAAUGAAUGGCCUCUUGGACUCAUAACUCAGGUGUUUCCAAGUAAAGAUGAUAAAGUACAUAAAGUAGAAGUUAAGGUAGCCAAAGCAGAUGGCUCAAAGUUGUUUGUAAGACCUAUCUCAGAGAUAGUAGUUUUGGUUCCUUCAUAAGAUAAAUUGUUUCUGCUGAACACUUAAUUUGCGGCGUUUAUUCACGCCAGAUGGGGAGUGUUCUGUUACGAAGUUGUACGUAUUAUGUUUUCAGUAAUUAAGUUCAUUUAUGUAGGUCAAAAAGGGGGAAAGCCUGCCCUCAUCUGUUCUUUUCAGGAAUUACAAUCUAGCAAUCUUUUGUUGUUUUGAAAUUAACUUUAUUGAACAGCGGUAGCAUUCAAGGAAAUUACUUAAUGUUGUGUUGUUGGUAGCUUAGAUCUACACAUGUAGACGUUUGGCAGAAACUCAAUGAGGUCCAGUCGAGUGAAUCUGCAGACAUCUUUCGUUUAUGGUCACAUUGCUGAUAUGUUUUGUGAAAAUAAUCAUGUAGGAUUGUUUCUGUGCUAGAUGUAGCUUCCUAAUGGGCUAUUUCACUGUGAAUAUGUUUUCUUUCUUGUGUAAUUUAGGGUAAUUGGGAAAUUACUUAAUGUGGUGUUGGUAGCCUAGAUCUACACAUAUAGAUGUUCUGCAGAAACUCAGUGUAAACGUGUAAUUUAUUCUGCUCAUACUCAUAUAUUUACUGUAUCUUUUGUCUUGUUUUCAGUUUCACCCUUUUGAUUGUCAAUAAACCUCCUGACAACGGUCUUCGGUCUUCAGAGUUUUGAUAUGAGAAAGGUGUUAGCUAGCCUUUGGAUCAGUAACGGCACACUAACAGUAGGCUGAAUAAAUGACAAUGAAUGAAUGAAUGGGGAUGAGAUUUGUAUUUGUCUGUGUGAGAAUAGUCACGGAAGAGGCAUAAUUUGGAGAUCAGAUCGCGCAUGCGUUGAUACUGCAGUGAAGUUAGUUUCAAGUUGUAUAUUGGAUAUUCGCACUCCGCAAAGUAAGCGGCGUUUAGCUCAAGGUUGAUCUGAUUUAUGAACGAAAGAAAAAUUGUAUGUGUGUGUGAUAUUUUAAUAGUGUAUAUGCGCAAUCUUAGUCUUUUGUGUGCGUGUGAGAAAGAAAAAUUGUAUGCCUGUGUGACAAUUUAAUAGUGUAUAUGCGCAAUUUUGUGUGUGUAUGAGUCUUUAGUAGUGUGUGAGACAAAACAGUUUUUGUCCUAAACUGCCCCUCAUAAUAAACAGUGCAAAACAUAUAUAAACUAACUUACAUUGGUUUCAAAAAUAGUUAUUUUAACAUUUUUAUUGUGAUUUCUAUGAUUGCUAUAACAGUCAUUGAACUUCGUGUUAUAAUGGUAUGGAGGCUGUUUGUUGCGACUUAAUAUAAUUUUCUUCAUAAACUGGUUUUAAUUAAGCUCAGUUUGCUAACAAGACUUUGAUAUUGUGAGGCUGCUGUUAUAAAUCGUUCAUCAUUGUUUUUAUCUUCAACAUAUUUUUGCAGUCUAAGCAAAUGAAGAUGAAAGAUUGAGCUAGGGAUCAGGUAUUAGAAAAACUAAAGACUUUCCUGUCUUAGAAGAGGCUCUGGCUCCACCAGAUCACCAACCAGUUCUGAGGAUGAACCUCCACAUCGUCUUCAUGGUGGAAGGCUUUUUAUUUUUUACUGAGCAGCUGGCUACAUUUUUAACAACAGCUAAAACUGCUUUCAGAGUCUGAGAUGGACUGGUGACCUGUCCAGGGUGAACCCCGCCUCUUGUCUGAUGACUGCUG